CUGUGAUGGGGUAAAUACCUGGAAAGGAGACUAGGAAGGAUCACUAAGGAGGCCACACCGGCAUUUCCUCCUUAUUGACAAGUAUCAGUGCACCUUGGUAAAGGAGGUAAAAUAGACUUUGGGGAACUAGGAAAUGUGCAAGGAGCUUUGCAGCCCUUAAGUCCCAUUAUAGUUCUACAUCUUGCUUCAGCUUCCAGAGGAGAGAAGAAGAGAGGGGGUGGGGGAGAGAGAAAAAAAUCAGAGCUGAGACCUGGCCUGAAACUAACAAGUAUAUCUUUUAAGUAUAACAAUUAUUCCCAUUGCUUUGCCUGGCUUUCAUUUACCUCUCUGAGGCCACAAAAAGCCCAUCCAGUCAUUCAACAAACAUUAACUGAGGCUCAGCUUGGCUCUUGUCCCAGUGCUGGAUGCUGGGCUCAGCUUCCAGGCAGUGGUUAAAGGUAACAGAGAUGAAUCCUUGACCCAAAGAACCAAAAUUGGGUCUAGACAAAACUGAUGUCACUAUAGGUGAGGGAGGGGCUGAAGGGACCACCAUAGCUGGUCCUAUCCCCCGUGGCACAUAGACGGGAACCUGCCAUUGGCAGUUAAUGGAAAAGGCAACAGAUGCUACUUGCCCAUGUCUGCGUGUCCUGUGAGCAGGUGGCACAGACAGGAGAGAGACACAUGAUUAGGGAAGGCGUCACAGAGGAGGGGCCUAAAGAGCAGACUCGACAGAGGUGGGGGUCAUUGCAUGGUGGUGGGGAAGCUGAAGGGCAAGGAGCCUGGUGUGAAUGUGGAGACCCCAGGCACUUUCUGACUACGAAAGUGAGACAACAGUCAGAGCAGACCCUCCUUGAAAAUGGAAGUUCCCUUCUUCCCUGGGGAACUUCUACUUUGUGAAAAGGACGGGUCAUCUUUUGUCAGGAGAGACCAGCAGGAUGUGAAGAACUGGGUGCUCUUCCUAGAUACCCCUCUUUAACCCCACAUCAUUUGGUUAUGAUCUUACUUCAAGUCUUUUAUUUCUCUGUUUGAAAGUUGGAGAGGCCAUCUGUCUACCUGCCAGGGCUGUGAGGAUCAGCAGACACUUAGGUGGCAAGCAGAGUCUGAAGCACAGGAGCCUCCUGGGUGGCCCCGGUUGCUGUUGUGAGGUGCUGGCUCUCGAACACAAUGCCUCCUGUGAGCUCGGCAAGCACUCUGCCACUGAGCUACAUCCCAAGGCCUCAUGACUGUAUUUAAAAACAAUGAUAGAAAAUACUAGAAUGCAUCAUUGCUUGUAAUGUUGUUUUGGGAAGGUCUAAAUCGUUGGGUGAAUCGAGUCAGGAAAUUUUGCCAGAAGGAAGCCACCCUAGACCCUGGUUGCUGGACCCUCUCAGAGGCAAGAGUAUAGAGCCAAAGGCAGCAUAAGAAAAAGCUGGCUGGGGGCUGAGCCACACUGCUGGCUCCCUCCUAGCCUGGCAGGUCCCACUAACACUCGCCAAUCUAUAAAGCGUGGAGUGUGGAUGAAGAAGGUGAGCUGCACCAGACUCGAUGCCUGAGUGCUGCUGGCAAACUUGGGGCCUCCCUUCCCCAAGCAACUUACACAAUUGUAUUGUGUUUCUCGCGGCACUUCCUUAUGAGCUAUUCCAUGUAGGAGGGGACAGUUCCACUGAGAACAUCCCGACACUAGAAGCUUCUAAAAUGGACAGCACUCAGAGUGCCAACUAGAGAAACAAACGGCAAAAACGAACACAAAACUUCUCUCUGCCAAAGAAGCUCAACAAGCGCCAGUCAGGACCAAUUCAGGGUACGAGUCUAAUGACACCUUUACCU